GAUGAACGUUGGCGGUGUGCCUAAUACAUGCAAGUCGAACGGAGUUAGUAGCUAUACUGGCUCAGUGGCGAACGGGUGAGUAACGCGUUGGUGAUCUGCCUUGAAGUGUGGAAUAACGUUUCGAAAGGAACGCUAAUACCGCAUGUGCUCUCGAUUUUCAGAAAGUUGAGAGUAAAGGAUUUAUUCGCUUCAAGAGGAGCCUGCGUCCCAUCAGCUGGUUGGUAGGGUAACGGCCUACCAAGGCUAUGACGGGUAGGGGACCUGAGAGGGUGGCCCCCCACAAUGGAACUGAAACACGGUCCAUACACCUACGGGUGGCAGCAGUAGGGAAUAUUAGAAAUGGACGAAAGUCUGAUCUAGCAACACCGCGUGUGCGAAGAAGGCCUUCGGGUCGUAAAGCACUUCUUGGAAGGAAUAGGAAGGAAUGUACUUCCAGAAUAAGUCUCGGCUAACUACGUGCCAGCCGCCGCGGUAA
rnacentral:rRNA from 1 species